rnacentral:rRNA from 1 species
AUUGAACGCUGGCGGCAGGCCUAACACAUGCAAGUCGAACGAGUGGCGGACGGGUUAGUAAUGUCUUGGAAACUGCCUGAUGGAGGGGGAUAACUACUGGAAACGGUAGCUAAUACCGCAUACCAUCAGAUGUGCCCAUAUGGGCUUAGCUAGUAGGUGGGGUAACGGCUCACCUAGGCGACGAGCCCUAGCUGGUCUGAGAGGAUGACCAGCCACACUGGAACUGAGACACGGUCCAGACUCCUACGGGAGGCAGCAGUGGGGAAUAUGGCACAAUGGGCGCAAGCCUGAUGCAGCCAUGCCGCGUGUAUGAAGAAGGCCUGCGGGUUGUAAAGUACUUUCAGCGGGGAGGCGUUACCCGCAGAAGAAGCACCGGCUAACUCCGUGCCAGCAGCCGCGGUAAUAC